rnacentral:rRNA from 1 species
CUAAUACAUGCAAGUCGAGCGGACAGAUGGGAGCUUGCUCCCUGAUGUUAGCGGCGGACGGGUGAGUAACACGUGGGUAACCUGCCUGUAAGACUGGGAUAACUCCGGGAAACCGGGGCUAAUACCGGAUGGUUGUCUGAACCGCAUGGUUCAGACAUAAAAGGUGGCUUCGGCUACCACUUACAGAUGGACCCGCGGCGCAUUAGCUAGUUGGUGAGGUAACGGCUCACCAAGGCGACGAUGCGUAGCCGACCUGAGAGGGUGAUCGGCCACACUGGGACUGAGACACGGCCCAGACUCCUACGGGAGGCAGCAGUAGGGAAUCUUCCGCAAUGGACGAAAGUCUGACGGAGCAACGCCGCGUGAGUGAUGAAGGUUUUCGGAUCGUAAAGCUCUGUUGUUAGGGAAGAACAAGUGCCGUUCAAAUAGGGCGGCACCUUGACGGUACCUAACCAGAAAGCCACGGCUAACUACGUGCCAGCAGCCGCGGUAAUACGUAGGUGGCAAGCGUUGUCCGGAAUUAUUGGGCGUAAAGGGCUCGCAGGCGGUUUCUUAAGUCUGAUGUGAAAGCCCCCGGCUCAACCGGGGAGGGUCAUUGGAAACUGGGGAACUUGAGUGCAGAAGAGGAGAGUGGAAUUCCACGUGUAGCGGUGAAAUGCGUAGAGAUGUGGAGGAACACCAGUGGCGAAGGCGACUCUCUGGUCUGUAACUGACGCUGAGGAGCG